ensembl:antisense Gm16150 predicted gene 16150
UAUGCUCCACCACUGCACUGGAUCUGACAAAUCAAAGACAGAGCUACUAAGAACUUCAACAUGUCAACCACGGAGCACUAGUAAGAACCACAGAAGCCAAGGGUGCUGAGCUUCAUGAGACACACACACCACAGUCUCCGGAGGGAUCCAGGUCCAGUUCUUGUCUAUCAUUUGCCAGCUCCUGAUCUCCUUGACUGCUGCUACCUUUAAGUAAGGAAAACAUGCUGGACAGUCUCCAGGUGGACAGAGGGAGUUGCGACCUUCCCCUCUGCCAGGGCGGGAAAAGCCACCGAGAAAUCAAGUCAGUCAUCAGUAUCCAGGCUACACAUCAGGCUGUGCCGGAUGUGCCCAGAUUUGACGUGUAUUUCCUGAAACUUGUCACCUGUGGAAAGCUGCUUGAUCUCACAGGGAUGGCUGUGGUCCUCAGGAUGCUGACA